rnacentral:rRNA from 1 species
GACGAACGCUGGCGGCGUGCUUAACACAUGCAAGUCGAACGGAAAGGCCCUGCUUUUGUGGGGUGCUCGAGUGGCGAACGGGUGAGUAACACGAGAGUAACCUGCCCUUGACUUUGGGAUAACUUCAGGAAACUGGGGCUAAUACCGGAUAGGAGCUCCUGCUGCAUGGUGGGGGUUGGAAAGUUUCGGCGGUUGGGGAUGGACUCGCGGCUUAUCAGCUUGUUGGUGGGGUAGUGGCUUACCAAGGCGUUGACGGGUAGCCGGCCUGAGAGGGUGACCGGCCACAUUGGGACGGAGAUACGGCCCAGACUCCUACGGGAGGCAGCAGUGGGGAAGAUUGCACAAUGGGCGGAAGCCUGAUGCAGCAACGCCGCGUGCGGGAUGACGGCCUUCGGGUUGUAAACCGCUUUCGCCUGUGACGAAGAGUGAGUGACGGUAAUGGGUAAAGAAGCACCGGCUAACUACGUG